rnacentral:rRNA from 1 species
AUGCUUCUCCUAAAGACUAAGCCAUGCAUGCUCUGAAUAUGAGGAAGCAAUUCUCUCUGAAUCUGCGAACGGCUCCGCAAACCAGUUGUAAACCAUAGCAGUGUUCCGCCCGGCUUCAGCAAUGGAGUCGGGCAUUAUAUGGAUAACCGUGGUAAUUCUGAGGCUAAUACAUGACACACUAACCCGUCGGGCUGGGGGCAACCUCGGCUUGGUGGGGGACGUGCGAUAAACACCGGCUACAAUUAAAAAAUACCGACGAAAAGGACG